rnacentral:sRNA from 1 species
UUUCGCGACAUUCACUUGUUCCGUCUGCGCCCACAGUUUACCAAUCGCUUCGUUGAUUGACGGGUGCCAGUUAACCGCACGGUUUACCGCCUCAUUGAGCGUGAGUGUUCCCGGCGGCGCGGCAUCCAGCUUUAGCGUGGAGGAGCCAUCCAGCGCGGGGAGUUCUUGCCCGGCCAGCCCUUGCGUCGUAAUACGCUGCGGUUCGUCAUCGGCAAAGGCUGCCACGCACAGACAGCUCGCCAGCCAGCAGGUUGCAGGCAGUAUUUUUCCCAUACAUUAUCCCUAAGAAAGCGAAAGACAUUAUUUUCUGCGCCCCGGACGUACAUGCGUCCGGGGCUGCUGU